UGGGGAAUAUUGCGCAAUGGGGGAAACCCUGACGCAGCCAUGCCGCGUGAGUGAAGAAGGUCUUCGGAUCGUAAAGCUCUUUCAACGGUGAAGAUGAUGACGGUAGCCGUAGAAGAAGCCCCGGCUAACUUCGUGCCAGCAGCCGCGGUAAUACGAAGGGGGCAAGCGUUGUUCGGAAUUACUGGGCGUAAAGGGCGUGUAGGCGGUCUAAUCAGUCAGUGGUGAAAGCCCUGGGCUCAACCCAGGAAUUGCCUUUGAUACUGUUAGACUAGAGUUCGGGAGAGGAUAGUGGAAUUCCCAGUGUAGAGGUGAAAUUCGUAGAUAUUGGGAAGAACACCAGUGGCGAAGGCGGCUAUCUGGACCGAUACUGACGCUGAGGCGCGAAAGCGUGGGGAGCAAACAGGAUUAGAUACCCUGGUAGUCCACACCGUAAACGAUGAAUGCCAGUCGUCGGGUAGCAUGCUAUUCGGUGACACACCUAACGGAUUAAGCA
rnacentral:rRNA from 1 species